rnacentral:rRNA from 1 species
CAGUCGCCGCGGUAAUACAGAGGAUGCAAGCGUUAUCCGGAAUGAUUGGGCGUAAAGGGCUCGCAGGCGGUUUCUUAAGUCUGAUGUGAAAGCCCCCGGCUCAACCUAGGAAUUGCAUUUGUGACUGCGAGGCUAGAGUGUGUCAGAGGGGGGUGGAAUUCCACGUGUAGCAGUGAAAUGCGUAGAUAUGUGGAGGAACACCGAUGGCGAAGGCAGCCCCCUGGGAUAACACUGACGCUCAUGCACGAAAGCGUGGGGAGCAAACAGGAUUAGAUACCCGAGUAGUCCCUGUCUCUUAUAC